GCGCCCGUAGCUCAGUUGGUUAGAGCAGCGGACUCAUAAUCCGUCGGUCGUAGGUUCGAGUCCUACCGGGCGCA
rnacentral:tRNA from 1 species